rnacentral:rRNA from 1 species
GAUGAACGCUGGCGGCGUGCCUAAUACAUGCAAGUCGAGCGAAUGGAUUGAGAGCUUGCUCUUAUGAAGUUAGCGGCGGACGGGUGAGUAACACGUGGGUAACCUGCCCAUAAGACUGGGAUAACUCCGGGAAACCGGGGCUAAUACCGGAUAACAUUUUGAACCGCAUGGUUCGAAAUUGAAAGGCGGCUUCGGCUGUCACUUAUGGAUGGACCCGCGUCGCAUUAGCUAGUUGGUGAGGUAACGGCUCACCUAGGCAACGAUGCGUAGCCGACCUGAGGGGGUGAUCGGCCACAGUGGGACUGGGACACGGCCCAGACUCCUACGGGAGGCAGCAGUAGGGAAUCUUCCGCAAUGGACGAAAGUCUGACGGAGCAACGCCGCGUGAGUGAUGAAGGCUUUCGGGUCGUAAAACUCUGUUGUUAGGGAAGAACAAGUGCUAGUUGAAUAAGCUGGCACCUUGACGGUACCUAACCAGAAAGCCACGGCUAACUACGUGCCAGCCGCCGCCGUAA